GAAAAAAGCCCAGCGACAGCAGAAGCGGCGUUUGGAAGCCAGAUUUCAGGAAGGGAAGCUGGGAGGAAGCCAAGGACAGCAGCGCUGCGCCCUGCCCUGGCAUCGCCCCGCCGGACCCCGCGCGGGAGGACAGAGCACGAGGGGCUCCACUCGGCGGCYGCUGAACCCCAACCUGGCCGAAGUCGAGCACGCGCGCGUAAGCGCCUUCCCGCUUAUUACGUGCGCCGAGCGUGCCGUGGGCUGGGAGGUGCRUUUCAGCCGCGACGGGAAGAUCGAUGCCACGCGCCUGAAAACCGGCAGCAGGAGGAUUUCUCCACCGGGGCUUCCCAAAAGCCCCCCGGGUGCCUUUCCCAGUUGUGGAGGGUUUCCAGCUGCUGAGCACGCAGGGACGUUAGGAGCGGAGCUGAAAAUACGCCCGUAAUACAGGAGAGAAAAGCAGAAACAAGCAGAGGCAUCAUCGGUCAGAGACCCCCGUACCGACAAGA
ensembl:lncRNA